rnacentral:lncRNA from 1 species
GGUCUAUCUUGCUUCAUUCUUUAAUUUAAAGGACAUUUUUCUCUAUUUUAAAAAUUUUUGUGCCUACUAUUCUAUAUAUUUUAGCAAUCAAUUCUUCCUGUAUAAUUUUGGUCCUUAUUUCUAUUUUGUUUGUGCCGAUUAUUCUCUAUUUUGAAAAUUCCGAACCAGUCUUAGAUAUCGAUAAUUUGUUUGAAGGUAACUCACGUAUAUAUUAUUUUCUUUUGUAAUCUAAGAUGAAGUUUAAUAUAUAUUAUCGAAAAUAUUUAUUAUUUAAAUACACCUUUGGAAGUUUUCGUAAUUUUAUGAAGGGUUUUUCAAAAAGGCUG